CAAAAAAAAUUGGUGGGAAAUUGUCCUUUUCCCUUUUUUUAACUGACAUUUUUCAAUCAAAAUCCCUAACCUACAAAACCUCCAGAGCUCGGCCAACUCUCAAGAACUCGUAUUCAAAUCAUUAGUACAUCGAACUGUUUGUCUUCAUUAUAGCAUUGACGAAGGUCGACGGAAACUUGUCUUCUCUCUGGCGUCUCCCCUACCCUUUGUUCAUCUUUGACUCUUUUAUGAUUUUCAAUUUUUCAAUUUAUGCUGAAGUUAUUUCGUUGUUGUCAAUAGAAGUUACUUUGCUUGAGUGGCAUUGCUUCUUCUCCCCUGGAUUGAAAAAUAAGUAUAAUGAAAAAAACUGGAGUGUUUACAUGUUAAACUUCCUCAGAUUAGUUGAUAAAAACCCAUUGGUUUUUUUUUUUUUUUCACUGGACUGGUUUUGCUUCUCCUGUUGUAGUUCCAUUUUCUGUUUUUGCUUGGAAGGGAAUGGUUUGUGGCUUCUGGGUUGGCUUCUCCCGGCCUUCAGUUUUUCAGUGCCUAUAAUCUUUUUUUUUUUUUUUCCCUUUUUAGUGUGUUUGUUUUUGUAAGUUACCUUUCUCUGUAUUUUCUUUGGCUUAGUGUUCCAUUUAUUGUUGCUUAUUUGAUGGAUAAGAUAUUGCGGGAGAAUUUUGUCUAUAGCCUUUUGUUUUUUUCUUUAUUCCCAUUUUUAUUAACGACACUAUCUUUGAUUUGAAUCCUAUGUGAUCCUAAAGUUUAAUUAUACGCGACUGUCUUGACUUGGGUAAUGUCAUUUCAUUAGUUGUUACUUGCGUUGAUCGCUCAAUAUUCAUUAAUAUUACUACUUAGAUUAAUUUAGUUAAUUAUUUAAUGCUUAAUUUGUACAUAUAUAUGAACUUCAAGUGAUUUGUGAUACAUAAUCACAUUUAAUGUUUGUUCAUAUAAUUAAGUUUUAUCUUUAGUUUGAUUGCAUGACAUAUGAAUAUAUUGUCUGUCUCUGUGUGUAAAUCUAUAAUAUAAAUGUUAUGUGAUAUGAAUUUUACUAAUUAUGAUAAGAUCUUUUCUCCUUUGUUUCUAUUUAUUGAUGGAAUUUAACUUCCUUCUAUUUAUUUCCUUUGUCAUCUUCUAUAUUUUAAUAUUGACAAGGUAUUCUCUUGUUUUACUAUAAACUGUUCAUCAGAACUCUUAGAUGUGGCGGUUGCUCUGUGCACAAUGCUCUUGUGUUGGCCAUUGCUCAUUACUUCUAUUUGAUCUCCCAACUAAACUAUUAAAACUCCUUCAAUUGCUGGAACAGAUAGCCAGUUCUUGUUGUGGUCCAUGAGUUGUAGCCCUGGACUGCUUUGCAGUAAGAUGGUUAGUGAACCAUAGUCUCUGAAUGUGAUGGCAAACCUAAUGCAAGAUCAGGUUCAGGACAUACUGGAUAGCAAGUUACUGUCAUGACUUGCAGGCCUUCUUCAAUGUCCUCUUGGAGAACGAUAUUUAAAAGCUAGACAACAUGAAAGCAUUUUGGCAAACUUUUUAUUGCAUAGGGGUUGACACCGGAAAAGCUGGGAAAGGCUAGUUUGGCUCGAGAGAGGCCUUUUGGUACAACAAAAGCUUGAAUUCUGUACAUUGAACACCGUGCAAAUCCAAGGGCAGUAACCAUAUUUAUCCGAGGUAACAAAAUGAUUAUUGAGGAAACAAAGUGCAGCCUGUAUGACGUGCUGUGUGUGGCUAGAAAUCUAAUUCGUGACAAUUCCAUUGUUUAUGGUGGUGGUUCAGCUGAGAUAUCUUGCUCAAUUGCCGUAGAGGCUGCUGCAGAUAAAUGCCCAUGAGUUAAGCAAGUAACUUCCCUUGAUCUCGUGAGUUUGAUGAAGAAGCUUGCUAACUUAGCUGCACCUCGAGCAUUUUAUUUUGAGUAGCCAAUUGCUCCAUUCUUUCAAUGAGGUGCUUAAUGGCUUCUUCUUGAACUUGUGUCUUCUAAUUUUGAGCUUUAUAUAACUUUCCAUCAUCAACUCUAAACUUGAUUUCUACUCUCUUGGCAUAAGGUGAACGGUUCUUGUUGUGGUGCACUAUUCUAGAAUCCAGGUGGUGACAGUCUGAAAUUCUGGCUCGUAUUAGUAGGAACUGGUUUGCUAUUCCAUGAGAAGUUCAGAUGAUUCCUCUAUCUUGGAUUGUAAGUAUUUGAACAUAGGUUGCCUUGACUUCUCUAGUUGAAAUUUAUUGCGUUUGCUUGUUUCGUACUUUGUUCACCAGGGUAUGUGUUUAUAGUGUUGCAAUCUAUACUAACAUGUCCUCCUCUGCAUAUUUCACAUCGUCUGGUCACACCCACUGCUUUCAUAUCCAACCUUUCCAUUUUCUUUGUCAAGGUAUCAAGCUUCGCAUUCACCAUGGUCAUUCCGUCUACUUUAUAUACCUUUGAUGGUUAUUUUGGCACAAUAUCAUCUAUCCAACAUGAACUAAUUGCGGUCAUCCGUUCAAUUAGUUGGAAUGCAUUCUCAAUUGUGAGCCAUAUAAAUGAUCUGCUAGCAAUUGCAUCAAGUGUGGUCUUAAUGUGUCUGGGUACUCAACUUUAGAAUGUUUGUAUUAGCAAGCAACCUGGGAGAUCGUGAUGUAGGCAAUGCCUUUGUAGAUCCUUGUACCUUUCCCAAGCCUCAUAUAGCAUUCCUCAGGAGAAAAUUAAGAGGGCUGAAAUGAUGUGUGAAGUGGAUAAAAAAUCAUAAGAAGCAAAUCAAAAGUUGCUGCAACAAGCAAAGAAAUUGCUCCCUCACAAGGUCAGUAGAAGCAAUUGCUGCGAGCUUCUUGUUGGUAAGCUAGCUUCUAUGGCUUUUAGAUAUUUAACCUCCUAAUCCUUGGAAGUUUAAAUGAGCUGAAAUGAUGUGUGCAGUACUAACAUUGGUUGCAUAAGUUGUCUUUAUUAUUGAUGUAGUAUUUUUUGACAUUCAACUUACAUACAAGAGUUCUAUUUGAACAUAUUCUGCAUAAUAAGUUUACAAUCAAUUGACCUCUUCUCCUUUAAA